UCAGGCUCUCCACAUCAUAUGUGACUGACUUUUACGUUAUAACAACGAUCACACACUAGGAAUGUUAUAAAGCGCCUAUAUAGGAGAUUCUUUUGUAUAUUAUCUGACUUUAUAAACUCCCAACAACAAUGUGCUUCUAUUUUUUUUUCAGGCUAAAUCUACCCAAGACACUGGCUGUCAGACUGAUUUAGCUGCAAGAAUGCACUUGUCCAGGCUGACAUGAAGCCUUACCGGCGUAGCAAAGGUGAAUUAUUUUUAAUAAUCUUCUAUGUAAACAUUUUAUUAUUACCUUCUAGUUCUAAUUUGUUUUACAGAUUAUUGUUACACGUGAUUUUAUGCUCUUUUAAACAUUUAUAAAUGUGCUGCUUCUUUGUUUUUGUACAUAGCCAGCCAGAAGAGCUCACAGCUGCUGUGUGUCUUGUGACACAAGGAUCAUGACGGAAAUUCAUCUUCCAGAAAGUCCCAGAGCGUCCACACCCCCUGAAAAGACCAAGAUGCGAGGUGUCUGCUAUUGAUUCCAGCUUCCACCUCAGUGACAGUGCAAGCUCAGUGAACUGUUCAAGGAGGCUACCGAUUCUGGCCCUGUGACACUUGGUGGUGACGUGUGAGCUGAUUCACCUGGACACUCAGCAAAAUAUGGACUCUACACCAUGAGGCAGGCACACGUUAAUAACUGUAUAAGAGCACAUAAGCCUGGCUGAUCACCUGAUAACUCCUGUCAUCUGGUUAUGACAGCAUGAGGAUGUCCUCACACACCUGUAACCUAUCAGCUCAUCUGGCAGAAUAGAGAGAGAAGAGACAACACCACAUCUCCUGUUCCUGGAAAGCCUUCAGCCAUCCUUUGAUGACUAAGAACCUCCAUCAGCUCUGUCUCCUGUCUGCCUACAAUUAUUAUAAUAAAUAUUGUGUUUGAAAAGUUUUUUGUGCUGCCAAAUAUCUCAUUUUGAUAUUUUAAUGGAUAUUUAUAAAUUACAUUAAUUGAAUUAUCACAUUGCAUGUUUAACUAGCUCUAUUGUGAUGAAUUAAACUAGCACCUCACUGUUAAAAGCUCGUUUUAAUUUCAAGCAUGUUUAAGUAUUUAUGGACAUAAACAAAAACAGGAAAUAUAUAAAUUGAGAUUUAUUUAAUUAAUAUAACAAAUAAGGGGGAAAGAGUCAUUGAAAGGCACAUUCUUCUGGAAGCUCCUGAUCCUGACGACACCAGCAGGAGACCAGCUGCAGACACCAGAGGAUCACCUGCAACCAAGAGCAGCUAGUAUCAGUAAAUAAAUAAUGAAAUCAGGGCAGUUUUAGUGGGCUGAACACAUUACAAAAUAAUUUUCUCAUGGGAUAUUUUCAUAACUUUAUGCAGAGCUGCUAUCCAGCACGUUUCAGUGGAUUUUCCUGCUUUAACAGGUUAGAUAAGCUGUUAAACAGCUCAGCUAUUUGUUGCUGAUUAAAACCAGGUGUGUUGAAGCAGAUAAAUCUCUAAAGUAUGCUGAAUACUAGCUCUCGGGCCAUGGAGCAAAACCCUGCAGCUAAUCUGAUGCUAUGGCUAACGGCUACUUACCAU